rnacentral:rRNA from 1 species
UACGGGGGGGGUAAGCGUUGUUCGGAAUUACUGGGCGUAAAGGGCUCGUAGGCGGCCAACUAAGUCGGACGUGAAAUCCCUCAGCUUAACUGGGGAACUGCGUCCGAUACUGGAUGGCUUGGAUUUGGGAGAGGGAUGCGGAAUUCCAGGUGUAGCGGUGAAAUGCGUAGAUAUCUGGAGGAACACCCGUGGCGAAGGCGGCUUCCUGGAUCACCCCUGACGCUGAGACGCGAAAGCGUGGGGAGCGAACGGG